rnacentral:misc_RNA from 1 species
GACAGAGGGGGCAAGCGUUGUCCGGAUUUACUGGGCGUACAGCGCGCGCAGGCGGCCAUGUAUGUGCUUGGUGACAUUCUCUCGCUUAACGAGAGACGGCCCAGGUAGACAGCAUAGCUGGAGGCAGGGAGAGGGUGACGGAAUGCCCGGUGGAGCGGUGAAAUGCGUAGAGAUCGGGCGGAACACCAGUGGGGAAGCCGGUCACCUGGCCCUGACCUGACGCUGAGGCGCGAUAGCGUGGGGAGCAAACGGG